GCCAUCGUGGUGUAGUGGUCAGCACACUCGACACAUAUUCGAGAGGUCCGUGGUUCGAGUCCCGGCAAGGACA
rnacentral:tRNA from 1 species